UUAAAUCGAACCAGCAACUUACUGUAAUUUAUUGUUAUAUUGUUUUUUUAUUUUUUAUGUAUAUUUAUCGUGUAUGGUCAAGUCUUUGAAAAUCAGAAUUAGAAAAAGUGCACAAAUACAAGAUUAACACGAUCAUACAAUCGCGUCCCGUAAAAAUGCCCGUUGCAAGAAUAUAUGUUUCAGACGCGUGAACAAACUGAGACAAGUUAUUUUAUGUCCGUUUUUAACGACGACAUCGUAUUAUUAUAUGGCAGAGAGUAUAGUAUCCAUUCAAUUCCAUUAACUCCAAAACCGCUUUCAUUAGUUAACGAGAAUGGCGCUGUGACAACGUUCAUAUCUAAUUGGUGAAACUCUCAAUCCUACCGAAUUUCAUUUCGACCAACAGCCAUCUGUGUGCAGUGUCUUCAAUCAUGCAGCAUCCCGUAAUUGGACGCCACAUUAACCUGGUCCCUUUCAGCAACGAGAUAGAUGUUGACUUACUCCCGAGAAUCUCGCAUAUCAGCUCGUUUGAAGAAGAGGCAGUGGAUGCAGAAGGUCCACAGAGAUUCCGCGCAACAAAUCAAACGGUGGUGGUAACCGGAUAACGCAUAGUGAAAAAAAAAAUCAAAAAAAAAAAACGGAUUCAAUGGGACCCUCGGCCGACGUGUACAUUACCGUACGUCACAUAUUAUACACAAUAUAAUGCGACGACCAAAUUAGUGGACUGAAAGGAUUUUUAUGCGAAUUUCAGUGAUAUCAACUGUAUUAGACACGUUCACUCUGAUAUAUCGACCGAAAACUAACUCUAAUAUUUUGUAACCGAUUUAGUAAGUUGAUUUUUAUAUUUUUUAAGUCAAGCUAU